CUCGAGAGUGUCAGCCGCCGCGGUAAUACGGAGGAUGCGAGCGUUAUCCGGAUUCAUUGGGUUUAAGGGGUGCGCAGGCGGCCCGUCAAGUCAGCGGUGAAAUCCCGUGGCUCAACCACGGAAGUGCCGUUGAUACUGUCGGGCUGGAAUGCGGUCGAGGCGGGCGGAAAGUGGGGUGUAGCGGUGAAAUGCGUAGAUAUGCCACAGAACGCCGAUAGCGAAGGCAGCUCGCCGGACCUGCAUUGACGCUCAGGCACGAAAGCGUGGGGAUCGAACAGGAUUAGAUCCCCUGGUAGUCCACGCCGUAAACGAUGGGCGCUC
rnacentral:rRNA from 1 species